rnacentral:rRNA from 1 species
GAUGAACGCUAGCGGCAGGCCUAACACAUGCAAGUCGAGGGGCAGCGGGUAAGUAGCUUGCUACUUAUGCCGGCGACCGGCGGACGGGUGCGUAACGCGUAUGUAACCUACCUUUGACAGGGGGAUAACAUCGAGAAAUUGGUACUAAUACCCCAUAACAUCACCGGAGGCAUCUUCGGUGGUUGAAAACUCAGGUGGUCAGAGAUGGACAUGCGUUGUAUUAGCUAGUUGGUGAGGUAACGGCUCACCAAGGCGACGAUACAUAGGGGGACUGAGAGGUCAACCCCCCACAUUGGUACUGAGACACGGACCAA